UCCCCUUCUCUCAAACACUCUCGAACCUUCUCUAACCCUAGCCACCUCCGCCCUGAAAUCUACCGGAAUCUAUGGCUUCUCUGUGAGAGCCCUAUACCCACCUCUCCUUGCUCUCACACACAUGGUCUUUGAAGAUUCAAGGCCUGACUUUGAAGGUUCAUGCUUAGUCCUCUGUCGACUCAAAAUUCUACGGUCAUCUCAAGCAUUUCUCCGGCGUACCAUGGUUGUCUGAGCCUGAUCCUAACCUCUCCGA
rnacentral:lncRNA from 1 species